GGCCGGGCGCGCGACAGCACAGGGCGGCGAUGGCGGCGGACGGGGACUGGCAGGAUUUCUAUGAGUUCCAGGAGCCGGCCCGGAGCCUCCAGGACCAGGAGAACUGUAACGCGAGCCCCGAGGCCGGGGCAGGGCCGGGCGGGGGAGGCGACGGCUUCCCGGCGCUGGCCUGCAGCUUGGAGGAGAAGCUGAGCCUGUGUUUCCGCCCCUCGGGGCCGGGCGCCGAGCCCCCAAGGGCGGCCGUGCGGCCCAUCACCGAGUGCAGCCUCCUGCAGGGGGACGAGAUUUGGAAUGCCCUGACAGAUAAUUAUGGAAAUGUAAUGCCUGUAGACUGGAAGUCUUCACAUACCAGAACCCUGCAUUUGCUUACUCUGAACCUCUCAGAAAAAGGGAUAAGUGACAGUUUGCUGUUUGAUACCUCAGACGAUGAGGAGCUGAGAGAACAGCUGGAUAUGCAUUCCAUCAUCGUCUCCUGCGUGAAUGAUGAGCCCCUCUUCACUGCAGAUCAGGUUAUUGAAGAAAUCGAAGAAAUGAUGCAGGAAUCACCGGACCCAGAAGAUGAUGAAACGCCCACACAGUCAGAUCGGCUCUCGAUGCUUUCCCAGGAAAUUCAAACUCUUAAGAGGUCUAGUACAAGCAGUUAUGAAGAGAGAGUGAAAAGGCUCUCAGUAUCUGAAUUAAAUGAACUACUGGAAGAAAUUGAGACCGCCAUCAAGGAAUACUCUGAGGAGCUGGUGCAGCAGUUGGCCCUGCGAGAUGAACUGGAGUUUGAAAAGGAAGUGAAAAACAGCUUUAUUUCUGUUCUCAUUGAAGUGCAAAACAAACAGAAAGAGCACAAAGAAACAGCCAAAAAGAAAAAGAAACUCAAGAAUGGCGGCUCUCAGAAUGGGAAGAACGAGAGAGGUCAUAUGCCCGGCACAUGGAACAGAAGGCAGUAGAACCUUACCGGCCACCCCGUUUCUUGCCUGGUCAGGAUGCAGUGGGGCCGGGUUGGCCACAUCUACUGGCUCAGCUCCCAUCAGCCGCAGAGCAGGAGUUCCAAGGAGAGUUCCUUUACUUAACUUCUUUUGCUAGGAUCAGCUGUUAGUUUUGCAUUUUUCCGAGUUACCAUGGCUUCAUAUCAUUGCAUUUUUAUUUCUUUCCACUAAGCCUGGAUUGCAUGAAAGCCAUCUUUCACGAGUAGUCAAGCUACCAGUAGGUGAAAUGGUUCAGCAGUGUCCACAACUGCAUGUUUAAUAAGGAAGCCUAAAUUACACAUAUAGCUUAGGAAUUUAAGAAUUUGCAUCAACUUUUUUUUUUUUCCGGUGACAGGAAUUAAGUUUCCAGUUGGGAAAAUAGAGAUAGUAUCUUUAGAAUGUGUUGUUCAAAUAUAAAGUGUACCUUAGUUUCCUGAUACAUGGAUUCUAAAACUUUUCACCUUGCUUGAGAUUUUCUGAAUUUAUAUCUAGCUCUAACAUGCCCAUGGAUAAUGGAGCGAAGUGAUAUAGAAAAUUAAGUAUUUUUCUCUUUGUUGCUUUUGAAAGAAAAUACAUUCGAUAGAAAUAAUUUUUAAAGGAGGAUCUGACUUAUUUGAAAACAGUUUCCCAUAAUUUUUAUUGCAGCCUCCGGAGCUUAGGAAGUCAUCUCUUUUGAUAAUCUGUUUAAAAAAUGUGAACAAAUUAUAUGAUGGCAUGUGAAAAGUUGACAAAAAUAGUUAAAACCAGCCUACUUCAUCAAAAGUAAUAGUGAUGCUGCCAGCAAACUGAAGCAUGUUCAGUUGAGGUGUCUUGACCAACCUUGGAUUCUUGCUGAGACAAAAUGGCAUGCAGACCUGGGAAGGAGUGGGUGGGGAGGAAGGAUGAUUCAGGAGGAGAGGUGUUAUACGAGUUCCCCAAGACGGUCAAGUUUGGUACAGUACUCAGAUUUUCAGCAAUACCAUUGAGUGUGUGACUGAUACAGAGGUACUUAGCUCCUUCAAAGAUACAACCUUUUGCUGUUUCUCUGCUUUUUAUUGUGAGGACUUCUUUACAUUCUUAAAACUUAUCGAACCCCCCCAGAGAGCUUUUGUUUAUAUAGAUUAUAUUGAUUGAUAUUUACUGUAUUAGAAGUGAAAACUGAGAAAAUUUAAAAAUAUUUAUUAAUUCACUUAAAAGUACCAAUUAGAAAUUCACUAAUGCUUUUAUGAAAAAUAACUGUAUGUAAAAAAAUUAGUGAGAAAAAUAACAUGGCUGUGCAUUUUUGUCAAUUUCAUUAAUAUCUAGGUUAAUCAAAGACAACUAGGUUCUCAAAUCUGCUUCUGCAUUCAAUCUGUCAUUUGUAAUAUUUUACUCUAAGUCAUGAGAGAAGAGAGCAAAAAAGGCAAAUUACAUCUUUGUAUUUCUAAGAAAAUAAUUUUCAGCUCAUGGACCCCUGGGGGAUUCCUGGACCACACUUUGAGAACUGCUUGGCUCAGUUAUACAUUUCUUGAGGACAGAGACCAUUGCUUUGGUUUCCCUUCUUCUAUUCCUUGGAGCCUGCGCUUCAGCAUGGAAGGG